rnacentral:rRNA from 1 species
CGGAGGAAAAGAAACUAACUAGGAUUCCCCCAGUAGCGGCGAGCGAAGCGGGAAAAGCCCAAAAUGAAAAGCCAGCUUGCUGGCGUUGUAGUUGAGCGACCUUGGGGUGUCAGUUUGGGUAAGUCGCAUGGAAAUGCGUGCCGUGGAGGGUGAGAGCCCCGUCCAUCCCAUUCAGGACACUUCGCACAAGGGCGUUUCAGACGAGUCGGGUAGCUUGGGAAUGCUGCUCUAAUUGGUGGUAAAUCUCAUCAAAGGCUAAAUAACGGUGGGAGACCGAUAGCGAACAAGUACCGUGAGGGAAAGAUGACAAGCACUUUGAAAAGAGGGUGAAAAGAGCCUGAAACCGUUACGGGGGAAGCGGAUUGCGUUGGCCUGGUGGCCGCCUGUGUGUUCAGCCUUCGGGCGCAUUGAUGCAGGUGGUUAUCCGUCGUGGCUUCUCGGUGGCCGAAUUUGGGCUGCUGGGGGGUGAGGGCUCCCUUCGGGUGAGGACGACGGAGUGACGACGCGAUACGACCCGUCUUGAAACACGGACCAAGGAGUCUAGCGCGGGUGCGAGUCGGAGGGUGUUAAAACCCGUGGGCGAAGUGAAAGCGAGUUUAAAAACGAGCAGUUUGGGGCGGCAUAGAAUCGUUGAUUCUAGGUCCGACCUUGAGCAGUUGCGCUGGGACCCGAAAGAUGGUGAACUAUGCCGGAGUAGGGCAAAGCCAGAAGAAAUUCUGGUGGAGGCUCGUAGCGGUGCUGACGUGCAAAUCGCUCGUCGAACUUGGGUAUAGGGGCGAAAGACUAAUCGAACCAUCUAGUAGCUGGUUCCCUCCGAAGUUUCUCUCAGGAUAGCGGGCCGACAAGUUGUUUUGUGCGGUAAAGCGAAUGAUUAGCGCAUUCGGGGACGUUUAGUCUUUGGGCGAUUCUCAAACUUUCAAUGCGCAAGGGUACCGGUGCUUUGUUGAGCGGUACCGAUAAAAACGUCGGCCUUGUGGGCCACUUUUGGUAAGCAGAACUGGCGAUACGGGAUGAACCGUAAGCAUGGUUAAGGUGCCAAACUGCCCGCUUAUAGAUCCCACAAAAGGUGUUGAUUCAUCGAGACAGCAGGACGGUGGCCAUGGAAGUCGGAAUCCGCCAAGGAGAGUGUAACAACUCACCUGCCGAAUGAAUUAGCCCUGAAAAUGGAUGGCGCUUAAGCGGGCGACCGACACCAUGCCGUCUGUAAAAUAAAUCAGAUGAGUAGGAGGGCGUGGCGGCCGUGUCGAAGCGCGCCUGCAGAGGCGUGUGGAACGGCCGCUAGUGCAGAUCUUGGUGGUAGUAGCAAAUAUUCAAGCGAGAUCCUUGAAGGGCGAAGCGGGGAAGGGUUCCACGCGAACAUUGAUUGGGCGUGGGUGAGUCGUUCCUAAGCCGAGUGGCGAUUGCUAAGUAGCGGCGAAAGGGAAGCGGGUUGACAUUCCCGCACACGGAUGUGGAGGCGGCGACGCUUUAUUGGGGCGAACACGCUGGCGGUGGCGCUGGGCAGAGUUGUCUUUUCUGUUUGACCGCUGAUGCACGCGGUGUGGAAUCCGCUUGUCGGGAGAAACACGCGUGUACGGGCAGAGCGCCGGGGCUUUUCCGGCGUCCAGCUCGCCACCGACGGCCCUUGAAACUUUGCCUGCUGGUAUUUUAAGAUCCACGCCGUGGCGUACCGAUCACCGCAUCAGGUCCCCAAGGUGAACAGCCUCUGCUCGAUAUGAACAAUGCAGGUAAGGGAAGUCGGCAAAUUGGACCCGUAACUUUGGGAAAAGGGUUGGCUCUAGUGCUGCGUGGGAGUGGUUGUCGGGUGUUGGUGUGUUUAGGCUCUGCUGGACGAAGCGCGGGCCUUCGGGACUGUGUUUAUCUGGCGAGCCCGGAUGCGCCACGCUCGACGACGCCCACAGCAUGCAGCAGACUAGAACUGCAACGGGCAAAGGGAAUCCGACUGUUUAAUUAAAACAAAGCAUUGCGAGGGCCGUGGCCGGUGAUGACGCAAUGUGAUUUCUGCUCAGUGCUCUGAAUGUCAAAGUGAAGAGAUUCAAUCAAGCGCGGGUAAACAGCGGGAGUAACUAUGACUCUCUUAAGGUAGCCAAAUGCCUCGUCAUCUAAUUAGUGACGCGCAUGAAUGGAUUAACGAGAUUCCUACUGUCCCUAUCUGCUUCUAGCGAAACCACAGCCGAGGGAACGGGCUCGGCGAAAUCGGCGGGGAAAGAAGACCCUGUUGAGCUUGACUCUAUUCUAAUUUUGUGAAGCAAGCUGGGAGGUGUAGCAUAGGUGGGAGACUUCGGUCGUCCGUGAAAUACCACUACUCCCAGUCUUGCUUUACUUACUGGGUCGGUGUGGAUGAGUCUUACGACUCUUUUCUGGAACCAACUCAAUUUAAUUUGAGGACCACAGCUCAGUACACAUUUAGGAGGGGAGUUUGGCUGGGGCGGUACAUCUUCUACAAGACAACGAAGGUGUCCAAAGAUAAGCUCAGUGAGAACAGAAAUCUCACGUAGCGCAAAAGGGUAAAAGCUUGUUUGAUUUUGAUUUUCAGUGCGAGUCAAAAACGCGAAAGCGUGGCCUAUCGAUCCUUUCACGAUUCGAGAUUUGAAGCGAGAGGUGUCAGAAAAGUUACCACAGGGAUAACUGGCUUGUGGCGGCCAAGCGUUCAUAGCGACGUCGCUUUUUGAUCCUUCGAUGUCGGCUCUUCC